GGACAGCCGUGUGCACCGUGCGCUGGGCCGGGCGGGGAGCAGCUGAGGCCACGUUGGGGGACCCCGGGCCCGGGGCAGGGCUCUGGGAGAGUGGCCUAGCCGUGUGUGCGCCCCUAGCCCAGCGGCUUCACUCCCUCCCGAGGGCCCCGUGGCCGCGGCUUUAGGCGUCCAGAGGAUCGAUCGCCGCCAGACAUCCCUGGCCGUGAUUGCCCGAGCACUUGACCGCGAGGGAUGGGGGCGCCGCGGCCUCUGGGCAGGGGACUCCGGGCGCCCCGAGGGAGCAGCCGGGACCAGUGCCUCGCGGACGGAUUGUGCCCCGCUCCCCCAAGGGGGACCCGCGUCGACACGCUCCUCGGUCACCGUCCUCCUCCUGCCCGGGCGCCGCCUGCCUAAGGUGGCCCCAGAAAGCACAAACGGGUCGGGCGGAUCUGCCGCUGGCGCCGGCGCAGCCCUUCCCACGUGCUCCUUCCGGCUGAUUUAUUUCUCCACCACGAUGCCAGGCACGGGCACCCUGUGCCAAGCCUGGUUAAGCGCCAGGAGUCCAAAAUGCCUGCCAUAGUCCCUGCGCAAAGUUCACGGCCUCGUGCCAGGGACAGACAGCGCCCCCUCCCCACCCCAACACAGGGUGGUGAGUGCGAUGGCAGAAGGCGCGUGUCCCGGCGCCCCUCCUGGAGUAGGAGGGCUAAGCCUGCCCUGCGGGGAGACCGAAAGGCUGGGAGGGACCUAGGACUGUGGGGGCCUGGGGGGAGGGCUGCAGAAACCCCAGAGCAUGGUGGCAGAGGCAGGCACAGAAAGCAGGACAAAUCUCACACCUGACCCCAGCAAGCCUUUCCUGGCACACCUCUUGCCAAAUGCUGAGCACUCUGGAAACAGCCAGUGCAGGCGGCCUGUCCCGCCCCUGUAGCUGCUGCUGGGAGCCUCCCUCGCCUGCGUCCUCCCAGAAUCUGGCCUCACUUCUGCAGGCCUGGGGUAACAUCUUGGGGUCAGCGCCCCAGGAGAGGAGGCGCCUGGAGGCAGCAGAGAUGUUUAUGUAACAGCAGCCAGGCAGCCUGGAGGAGCAGAUUUUCCAUAGAAGGAAGCGCGGGGCUGUGCAGCUCCCAGGCUGAGGACUCUGCCCACCACGACGUCCUCUGCUCCUGAGAAGAGAGUGGCCCAUUCGGUGUCCACCCGUCAGGCCACCCAGCAGCCAGGCACGCUCAUAAGCCCGCGUUACGGAUGGUGCGGCCGGGUGCACAGGCCCGAGGGAAGCACAGGCCUCGGCCUCCCAGCUCCCAACCCCUGCACCACCCACAGCCGGGAGUACCCCAUGGACAGCUGUGGCCGAGGAGAAGCCAGGGAUGAGGGGGAUGGGCCUCACCUCCCCACCAGCCUGGGAAGGGGGUAGGCCCCUGGCAAGUAGGCCCCUCCUUUGCGGCUGCUGUGGGGACUUUCGAGAGCAGAGCACACCCCUAAGUGCGUGGAGAGGUAAGCACAGCUGGUGAGCACACGGGGACAGCGACGGAGCUCAUGGAGACCCAGGUGACCUUAAAACACCCCAGGGCCGGCUCCGGCCCCAGAGAGAUGUGGUCCGAGUAGAGGGGGGUCAGCAGUGACCUGGUGGGUGGGUGUAUUUGAGGGGUGCCUGUGUUGAAAGCUCUGCAGUAGAUUCUAAGGAGCAGCCAGGGCUGAGACUCCCGGUGCUGAGCCCAAGGCCCCUUUCCUUCCUGCAGGAGUUCAUCUUGGCUCUUGCAGCCCCCAUGACCCUGUGGCGCUGGGGGGCGGCUAGCAUGAUGCUCCCCAUUUUUCAGGAGGGAAGCUGAGGCUCAGAGACAUCAUGAGGAUGCCAGCUCAAGGCCCAGCCAGGCCUUGGUCCUCAGCUGCUGUCAUCCAGUAGGGUAAGUGGGACCCCCAGGAGGUGUUGGGGGACACUCCUCCCCUCCCCCACACUCACAGUCUGUUCACCGCCCAAGGCAGCAGGCUGGACUCGGUGCAGGGACCAUGGCUUGGCGUGGCCAGGUUGGAGUGGCCCCUGGGACUGAAAGCAGGGGGCGUGGGGGCUCUGAGGCGGGGCCGAGUGCGGGGACGUCCUGUGGCGGGUACCCUGCUGGGUCCUGGGUGGGGGCCACCACCAGGCAGCUGUGGGAACAUUCCAGACCACCUAGGAGUAGGGCCCCUUCACCGUUUGAAGCUGACUGUAAAAAACAUCUGACCUGUGUGCAAAGCUCAAGCCCAGAGGCCUCCAGGGUGUCCAGCCUCCAGGGUGCCUCCUACGCAGCCUCCACGUCCCCAUCCACUGCAGCCCCUGACCAUCGGGCACACCGUGGGGCCUUCGCUGGCCGCCGGGCCUCAGGUUCUGCUGCACCAAGUGAUUUUUAAAGCCCCAUCUGCCUUUCUCCACUUAUAAAGAACUUGGGACAUUUCCUCGAGGUUGGGCAUUUUUCCAGAUGUGGUUUCAGUGUCUCGCUUGCUACCUGGUCCCCUGUGCUGGGCGGUCCGCUGUGACGCACCUGGCAGUCCUUGCUCUAGGAUGGAUUCGGGCCGGCCCUUGUUCUGAGAACAGAGAACGGCCCUUGUUCUGAGGAGGCUGGGGUCUGGAAUCUGCUUCCUGGUCCCCUGCUGUGUGCAGACAGCCACCGUCACCCAGGCCCAGGGGUGCCUGCAGGUGCUGGGCAUCUCACCCUGGCCCCCACAGGGGCUCCCCAUGCCCUGCACCCCUCGGUCUGUGCCGGGGACUUCCCUGCUCUGCUGUUGCAGGCCUCGUCCUUUGCCGAGGGGGUCUCUUUCCCACGUGUCCCUGAGACUCCUCAGCCAUCCCAGAGGCUCUCGGCCGUCUGAGCACCCCUGACCAUGAAGCCUUCCUGGCCCACUCUCUGUGUGUGAGGCAGAGCCCAUCCCUACCAUUCCGACCCACACCAGAGGCUCCGGAAGGUUUGCUGACUGACCUGUGACUGCAAGAAGCUGAAGGAAUGUGGGCGCAGACCCGGCAGGGGCUUUUCUUGGUGCAAAGUCAACUGGCUGUCCAUGCAAGCCUGCUGCUGUGGCCAGCCCUCCCGCCAGGCGCCUGGUACCCUCCCUGGACCCAGUUGCCAGGACAGUGAUCCCCAGCUGUGGCCAGGACUCUGCCCGGGGCCCUGUCUACUCAGUGUCUCCAGUGGUCCCCAUGCAGAAACUGCCCCCCUUGCUGCCCAUGAGGCAUGGGAUAGGGUCAGCAUCCGAGAGGCAGGCCCUGCUGUUCCCCUCUGCACAGAGGCUGGGGGAGUGAGUUGCCCGGGCAAGUCCCCGGGCAGGCACUGGGCCUCCUGAGCAGGUGAGCUGAGAAGGCCCCAGCUGGUGUAGGCCUCGAGAGCUGCAGGACUGGCCAUGGGGCAGACCUGGCAUUGUCAUUCUAGAGCUGGGCCUGGGGGGUGGCUGGUGCAGUGCAGAUCUCAGGUGGAGGCCACCUGCCCGUCCUUUCCACGUGGCUCAGGGCUCAGACCCACCUGCCUGUCCCUGGAAGCCCCUAGACUGCUCAGAGCACAGACCUCAGUGGGAAAGACAGUAGAUAGGCCUGGGUAUGGUCUCCCAGCCCUGAGAAGUGGGGAGCCCACUCAGACCUUUCCAGGACCCCAGGUCCCCUCAGCAGCCCACAGAGCGUGGGUGGAGCCUGGGCUGGGGUUGGGUCACUUGGGAGCCAAAGGCCCAUUUCUGCUGCUUCCAGGGAGUCCCAGGGAGACGGCAGAGGCAGUGCCUGGCUGGGGCCCUGGUUGGCGUGCCGUUUGAGGGGUGCAUGCACUGGGAAGUUGGCCAGGCCUGCCCAAAUCAGGGGGCUUCCAGGAGGAGAGACAUCAGGAGGAUGGGCACAGAGGCGGCUUAGCACCAGGGCUGGCACCUCCAGGUAGGGGCUGUGGGGGGCUGGACCAGACAGGGAGGCUGUCACGAUGCCUGGCUGUUGGAUGGGGGCACAGAGGCUCUGAGUGGGGUGGCAGAGCUUGGCCACCAGGUCCAUCUGCACCCCCCAUGCCCCCUCACUACCCCCAGACCCCCAUGAUCCCAAACUACUCAGUCCCAGGGACCCCUGCAGAGCCUGUGGUGGGGGUGAUCUUCCACCCUGCCUGGCCCCUGCCCACCUCACCUCAGAACUUUCUCCAAAAAGUAAGAGCCCCGGGGGACGAAACUUCGAGGCUCCACCCCUUGGGCUCUGGUACAAACCCCGAGCCUCCUCCGAGGGCUGAGUCACUGGGAAAGCCGGGAUGGGCUGGCCCCUCCCCCUCCCUCUCCUUCCUUCCUCCUUCCCCCUUUCUCGGUCUCCCUCUUUUUCUCUUUGCUUUACUUCUCUUUCUUGCCUCCCUCUCUCCCUCUCUUCUUUCGUUCCUUUCAUCUUCUUCCCUUCCUCCGUCUUUGCCUUUCUUCUUUUCUGAGGGUAAAAAUAGCUGGAAAAC
rnacentral:lncRNA from 1 species